GGAAAAUAUUCUUGGGUACACAUACAAACAAAAAACACCUUUGUUUUCGGCUUUUCAGUUCAUCCCUUAGCGGUUUAUCGGGGUGUGCAUCCGCUCGACAAUCCUGUUUACUGCAUCUCGGGUCAUCACAAGUGUGUCGUGCUGUAGGAUGCUGUAAACAUUCAGUCCAAUCGCAGGCAUCACAUUCACAUAAUGCAGAUUCCGUGUGGCGAGUUUG
rnacentral:misc_RNA from 1 species